rfam:Babesia sp. Xinjiang scaffold17, whole genome shotgun sequence.
UCGACUGUGCUCGUACAGGAUCACUUCUAUAGUGAAUCUGGUUACCGGUGCCAUCAGCGACAGUUGCUGUCAACAGCCGUGAUGAUGAGUUGUACGUUCUGCCGUCCGCGGAAUUAUGUUAUCAAAUUUUUUAAUUUGCUUGACGUCGAUGAAGUGUGUUUACCUAUACGGUGACAGCGGUAUUGAACGAAUCUGAACGGCA